rnacentral:rRNA from 1 species
CCUACGGGCGGCAGCAGUGAGGAAUAUUGGUCAAUGGGCGCGAGCCUGAACCAGCCAAGUAGCGUGAAGGAUGACUGCCCUACGGGUUGUAAACUUCUUUUAUAAAGGAAUAAAGUGAGGCACGUGGGCCUUUUUGUAUGUGCUUUAUGAAUAAGGAUCGGCUAACUCCGUGUCAGCAGCCGCGGUAAUACGGAGGAUCCGAGCGUUAUCCGGAUUUAUUGGGUUUAAAGGGAGCGUAGAUGGGUUGUUAAGUCAGUUGUGAAAGUUUGCGGCUCAACCGUAAAAUUGCAAUUGAUACUGGCAGUCUUGAGUACAGUUGAGUUUGGCGGCAUUCGUUGUGUAGCGGUGACAUGCUUAGAUAUCACG